rnacentral:lncRNA from 1 species
UCACUUUUCUAGAGGAGUAAUUUUCUUUGUUUAUUCAUGCAUGUCCAAGUCUUACGUUCCGCCCAGGGCGUAAUGACUCAUUGUAAGGCUCAUCUAUGUGGAUACUUGCAUUUUUUAUCAUCAAUAAAGGACGUCUUUUUGCAUUCAAAUAUUUCGUUCACUGUUUUUCUAUUUUUGCAGUUUUCAAAAAUCAAAAAAUA